rnacentral:rRNA from 1 species
AGUGAACGCUGGCGGUAGGCCUAACACAUGCAAGUCGAACGGCAGCACAGUAAGAGCUUGCUCUUACGGGUGGCGCGUGGCGGACGGGUGAGGAAUACAUCGGAAUCUACUUUUUCGUGGGGGAUAACGUAGGGAAACUUACGCUAAUACCGCAUACGACCUACGGGGGAAAGCAGGGGAUCUUCGGACCUUGCGCGAUUGAAUGAGCCGAUGUCGGAUUAGCUAGUUGGCGGGGUAAAGGCCCACCAAGGCGACGAUCCGAAGCUGGUCUGAGAGGAUGAUCAGCCAGACGGGAACUGAGGAACGGUCCCGACACCGACGGGAGGCAGCAGUGGGGAAUAUUGGACAAGGGGGGAAAGCCUGAUCCAGCCAUACCGCGUGGGGGAAGAAGGCGUUCGGGUUGUAAAGCCCUUUUGUUGGGAAAGAAAAGCAGCAGGUUAAUACCCCGCUGUUCUGACGGUACCCAAAGAAUAAGCACCGGCUAACUUCGUG